rnacentral:rRNA from 1 species
AUUGAACGCUGGCGGCAGGCCUAACACAUGCAAGUCGAGCGAGUGGCGGACGGGUGAGUAAUGUAUGGGAAUCUGCCUGAUAGAGGGGGCUAACUACUGGAAACGGUGGCUAAUACCGCAUACUAUCGGAUGUACCCAUAUGGGAUUAGCUAGUGGGUGGGGUAAAGGCUCCCCUAGGCGACGAUCUCUAGCUGGUCUGAGAGGAGGACCAGCCACACUGGGACUGAGACACGGUCCAGACUCCUACGGGAGGCAGGAGGGGGGAAUAUUGCACAAUGGGCGCAAGCCUGAUGCAGCCAUGCCGCGUGUAUGAAGAAGGCCUUAGGGUUGUAAAGUACUUUCAGCGGGGAGGCGUUACCCGCAGAAGAAGCACCGGCUAACUCCGUGCCAGCAGCCGCGGUAAUUC